UACGUAGGGGGCAAGCGUUGUCCGGAAUUAUUGGGCGUAAAGAGCGUGUAGGCGGCUCGGUAAGUCUGCUGUGAAAGUCCAAGGCUCAACCUUGGAAUGCCGGUGGAUACUGUCGAGCUCGAGUCCGGAAGAGGCGAGUGGAAUUCCUGGUGUAGCGGUGAAAUGCGCAGGAUAUCAGGAGGAACACCAAUGGCGAAGGCAGCUCGCUGGG
rnacentral:rRNA from 1 species